AAUCUCCAAAUGCCAAACCUAAUAAAGCCAGCGAAUGUGGUACCAACAGUGCCCCCAAAUGAUGCCCUGGGGGGCUUCUCAGCCUCUCCAAGAGAAAUGAACAGAUUGACUGACUGGCUGUAGCUUCUUGUUCUCAGAAAGCCAAACGCAAGUGGAUAAAACAGCGGGUCUCCAUGUGACCAUUACCGGAACUGCUGCCGGUGUUUUUCCGUCGAGCUGCUCACUCAAAUGGGAAAGGAAACGGCACAGGAAGAAAGCGAGUUCUCACAGAGUUUCUCCCGAGUCAACCAGGGGCUUUCAGGCAUCUUUUAAAUAUAUUCUUUAACCCGAAAAAAA